rnacentral:tRNA from 5 species
GCAGAUGUAGUUCAAUGGUAGAACGAGACCUUGCCGAGGUUUAGACGCGAGUUCGAUUCUCGUCAUCUGCUCCA